rnacentral:rRNA from 1 species
CAAGUCGCACGAGAAAGGGUAGCAAUACCUGAGUAAAGUGGCGCACGGGUGAGUAACACGUGAAUGAUCUACCUCCGAGUGGGGAAUAACUGAGAGAAAUCUUAGCUAAUACCGCAUAACACUUACGAGUCAAAGCAGCAAUGCGCUUGGAGAGGAGUUCGCGGCCGAUUAGUUAGUUGGCGGGGUAAUGGCCCACCAAGACGAUGAUCGGUAUCCGGCCUGAGAGGGCGCACGGACACACUGGAACUGAAACACGGUCCAGACUCCUACGGGAGGCAGCAGUGGGGAAUUUUGCGCAAUGGGGGAAACCCUGACGCAGCAACGCCGCGUGGAGGAUGAAAUCCCUUGGGAUGUAAACUCCUUUCGAUAGGGAAGAUUAUGACGGUACCUAUAGAAGAAGCCCCGGCUAACUUCGUGCCAGCAGCCGCGGUAAUACGAGGGGGGCAAGCGUUGUUCGGAUUUAUUGGGCGUAAAGGGUGCGUAGGCGGUUUGGCAAGUCUUGUGUGAAAUCUUUGGGCUCAACCCAAAGCCUGCACAAGAAACUGCCGGGCUUGAGUAUGGGAGAGGUGAGUGGAAUUUCCGGUGUAGCGGUGAAAUGCGUAGAUAUCGGAAGGAACACCUGUGGCGAAAGCGGCUCACUGGACCAUUACUGACGCUGAGGCACGAAAGCUAGGGGAGCAAACAGGAUUAGAUACCCUGGUAGUCCUAGCCCUAAACGAUGAUUGCUUGGUGUGGCAGGUACCCAAUCCUGCCGUGCCGAAGCUAACGCGAUAAGCAAUCCGCCUGGGGAGUACGGUCGCAAGGCUGAAACUCAAAGGAAUUGACGGGGGCCCGCACAAGCGGUGGA